rnacentral:rRNA from 1 species
UGCAAGUCGAGCGGAGUUUUGAAAAGCUUGCUUUUCAAAACUUAGCGGCGGACGGGUGAGUAACACGUGGGCAACCUGCCCUUGAGACGGGGAUAACUCCGGGAAACCGGAGCUAAUACCGGAUAACACAUAUCUUCGCAUGAGGAUAUGUUAGAAGGUGGCUUUUAGCUACCACUCAAGGAUGGGCCCGCGGCGCAUUAGCUAGUUGGUGAGGUAACGGCUCACCAAGGCGACGAUGCGUAGCCGACCUGAGAGGGUGAUCGGCCACACUGGGACUGAGACACGGCCCAGACUCCUACGGGAGGCAGCAGUAGGGAAUCUUCCGCAAUGGACGAAAGUCUGACGGAGCAACGCCGCGUGAGUGAUGAAGGUUUUCGGAUCGUAAAGCUCUGUUGUUAGGGAAGAACAAGUACCUGUUAAAUAAGCAGGUACCUUGACGGUACCUAACCAGAAAGCCACGGCUAACUACGUGCCAGCAGCCGCGGUAAUACGUAGGUGGCAAGCGUUGUCCGGAAUUAUUGGGCGUAAAGCGCGCGCAGGCGGUUCCUUAAGUCUGAUGUGAAAGCCCACGGCUCAACCGUGGAGGGUCAUUGGAAACUGGGGAACUUGAGUGCAGAAGAGGAGAGCGGAAUUCCACGUGUAGCGGUGAAAUGCGUAGAGAUGUGGAGGAACACCAGUGGCGAAGGCGGCUCUCUGGUCUGUAACUGACGCUGAGGCGCGAAAGCGUGGGGAGCGAACAGGAUUAGAUACCCUGGUAGUCCACGCCGUAAACGAUGAGUGCUAAGUGUUAGA